rnacentral:rRNA from 1 species
AGGACGAACGCUGGCGGCGUGCUUAACACAUGCAAGUCGAGCGGAAAGGCCCUUCGGGGUACUCGAGCGGCGAACGGGUGAGUAACACGUGAGUAACCUGCCCCUAGCUCUGGGAUAGCUCCGGGAAACCGGGAUUAAAUACCAGAUACGACCACUUUAGACAUCUGUCGUGGUGGAAAGGAUUCCGGCUAGGGAUGGGCUCGCGGCCUAUCAGCUUGUUGGUGGGUAACGCCUACGAAGGCGACGACGGUA